rnacentral:rRNA from 1 species
AGCGAACGUUAGCGGCGGGCUUAACACAUGCAAGUCGAGCGAGAGAGUGACUUCGGUCAUGAGUAAAGCGGCAGACGGGUGAGGAACACGUAGGUAAUUUUCCGUUUAGUGGGGGACAACGGUCCGAAAGGACCGCUAAUACCGCAUACGUUUCUUGGGACUUUGGUCUUGGGAAGGAAAGCUGGGCAACUGGCGCUAAAAUGAGAAGCCUGCGUCGCAUCAGCUAGUUGGUGGGGUAAUGGCCUACCAAGGCGAAGACGCGUAGCUGGUCUGAGAGGAUGAUCAGCCACACUGGAACUGAGACACGGUCCAGACUCCUACGGGAGGCAGCAGUGGGGAAUAUUGGACAAUGGGCGCAAGCCUGAUCCAGCCACGCCGCGUGAGUGAUGAAGGCCUUCGGGUCGUAAAGCUCUGUGGGGAGAGACGAACCGCUGGGUAACCCGUUCAGCAUGACGGUAUCUCCUUAGCAAGCACCGGCUAACUUCGUGUCCA